UUUCCGUAGGUGAACCUGCGGAAGGAUCAUUACAGAGUUCAUGCCCUCACGGGUAGAUCUCCCACCCUUGAAUAUUUAUACCUUAGUUGCUUUGGCAGGCCGUGGAAACACCAUGGGCUCCGGCUUAUGCGUGCCUGCCAGAGGAAACAAACUCUGGUUUUAAUGAUGUCUGAGUACUAUAUAAUAGUUAAAACUUUCAACAACGGAUCUCUUGGUUCUG
rnacentral:misc_RNA from 1 species